rnacentral:piRNA from 1 species
UUCUAACGUCAGUUAACCCACUUAGAAACU